rnacentral:lncRNA from 1 species
AAUUCUGUCUGGACACAAAGGAAAAAUCGGAAUUGGCAGAUACUCUCUCGGUUACUCCCUGGUUGCAGUUAAUGAGCAGCCUGUUCGCCUGCAGCCUUUAGACAGGGAACAAGGGGCACAGCUUUUCCCACUUUAUUGGUUACUGACUGGGAAAGAAGGAUUCCACUAGCACUGCUUGGCUAUCAAAGCUGGGCAAUGUGAUCCUCUAAGCCACAUGUUUAGGAAUUGACAAACAAUUGUGGAGGUUGGCAAUUCCAAAAUCUGAGGAGUAGGUAAACUGGAAGACUAGAGACCCUGGGAAGAGUUGAUGUUACAGCUUGAAUCUGAAGGCAGUCUGCUGGAAGAAUCCCCUCUUUCUUGUAGAAGCCCCUUGACUGGGCAAACUUCAAACAAGUGACUGAGCUCCCUUAGCUGCCACUGAUUGGACCAGGAUGGACAACAAAUGUAGGAGGAGUUCAUCUGGAUCUAGCCUGAGCCAGUCAGAUAUCCCCUUUGAAUCCAUGCCUAUAGAAAUACAAAAAAAUGGAAGCCAGAGGAUGAUGGAUCCUUGAAGUAAUAAGUCAGCUCUGUGGAAGUUUGAGUGACUCAUUGCAGAGAGGAAUUGAUGAAGUCAACAGCUGCUGGAAAAACUUCUUUUUCCUUAAUAGCUGUAUCAACAUGUGGUUGCUAUUAUUCAAGUAAGAAAAAUAUGUAUAUCAAACAUCCAUGGUAGUCCUUGCUAAAAUUUUCAUUAGAGAGACUCAUGUUUUGACAUUAAAAAAAGUUCAAAUGGGUACCUUAGAGGAUGUUUUGUUGGAGAACAAAAUCAUGGAGAAAUAAAGUCUAAAAAGAAAAAUAAAUGGCAAGCAUGUUGUUAAUAAUGCUGUAAUUUAUUUCAGAGUGGGUUGGGUGAUUUUCUUCAUGGCAUUAUUAGUGGCACUGCAGAAAUUUGGCACCUCAUGCAUUCAUAGUCUCCAGGAUGGUCUGACCAUUCAUCCAACAAAUAUUAAUUGCUCUCAUGGUAAAAUCUCUGCCUCAUGGAGUUUAAAUCCUAAAAGUGGUGAAAAACUAAACACUGUGAACAGUUAAUUACUCAAUAUGGUAUGUACUGUGAAGGAAGUAGGCAAGAAGCUAAGAUAGAGAUUAAGAUAAAAGGACUUGCUUCACUUAGGGAAGACAUGGGAGACCUCUCUGAGGGUUGACAUUGAGGCUGAGACCUAAAGAAUGAGAAGGAGGUAGCAAAGUAGAGAGAAUGGUGUAAGAUCAUCUUGGUCAGAAGGAGCAGCUGUGCAAAGUCCUCUGACUUUGAGAGGGACCAUAGCAUGUUCUUGGGACUGAAGGAACAUCAGUGUGUCUAGAGCACAGAUCAUGAGGAGGUUGUGGUAUGCAAUUAGAUUGGAGAGAUAGGCAGGAGCUGAAUCAGAUAACUUUGUAGGCCUUGGUAAAGAGAUGUGAUUUUAUGAAUGCAUUUUACUGAAUGCAGUGAGAAAAUACUAGAGGAUUUUAAGUUCUGUGUGUGUGUAUGUGUGUGUACCUCUGUGAAAAUAUGUGUUGCUGUAGAGCAAAGUGGCCAAAUGAGUUGGGUGGGGUUAAGGGUGGAAACAGGUAGACUGCCUAAAGUAGACCAGGAUUUAAAUUAUGGCUGCUCAUACUGAGGUUGUGGCAGUGGAAUCGAGGCAGGGGUGCAAAAGCAAGAUAUAUUUUGAAGAAGGAACUGAUAGAAUCUGGUAAUGAAUUGGCUAUAGGUCUUGAGGAAAAGAAAAGUCUCUGGGGACUCAUAGGUUUUAAGCUUGGGUAGCUAUGUGGAUGAUUGAACAAUUAAAAAUGAUGUAGAAUAUUUGGCAGGGUGGAGGAAGCAUGAGUAAUACAGUUUUUAUCUAUGAGACAGCCACGGAAGAUGAGAGAAUCUGGAGAGAACAUGCACAGAGAGACAAGAAGAGGGCUUAGGAUGGAGCCUUGGGCUAUUUCUUCAUUUAUGGGUUGGGUAGAGGACAUCUGAGGAGUAAACGAUCUCAAAAGCAGAAUAACAAACUGGAUGACGAACACCCCUGGGAGCAGAUAUAUUAGAACAAAAGGACCAAUAAUUUAUAUCUUCUUAAAUAAACAUCCUAAUUGAGAAAAAGAAAUGUAUUAGCAACAUGAACCAAGACAAGAAAUUCCCCCCACAAAAAAAAGCCAUGUAAAAUAUCAGGAUAAAAAUGUAGACUUGAAGGAACCUAAUAGGUGGGAUAAAUAGUGACAUAGCUACAGCUAAAGAAUGAUGGAGUUGAAAGACCAGAUGGAAGAAUGCUUCUAGAAUGAUAGAAAAUGUAAAAGUUCAUAGCCAGAGAUAAUAGAAGUACCAGGUUUUAGAUACUUAGAGUCCCUGAAGGAAAAAUUAUAAAAAUUAAAAGAGGAAAAUAUUUAAAGAAAUGUGAAGAACAUUUUCAAAAGAAAGAACAGCUACAGAUUGAAAUGGUCUUUAGAGAACCACUUCAUGGGAAAUAUAUAUUAAAAAUAUUAAGUAAAUAUAUAUUUUAAAAAUUCACACACAGGUCCAUUAUAUUGAGAUUUAAGAAUAUCAUAGGCAAAGAGAAAAUGAUAAAUGACACAAAUGACAUCGGAGUUUUCAAUAAAUGCAGAAUUCCAGAGGCAAUGGAGUAAUUUUUAAAAAAUACUUAAGAAAAUAAAUUUGAAGGUAGAAUUUUACAAUUAAUAAAUUUGUAUUUCAAACAUGUGAUGACAAUAAAAAUAUUCUCAGGCAUACAAGUCCUUUUUACCAUAAAAAGGACUACCAUUGAAAAGAUAUUUUAACAUAAGUGCUCCAAAAGAGAAAGAGAAGAAAAAAUAUCAAGAAAAAAAAGAACUAUAUCCAAAAUACCACAGAAUUAAAGCUCUAUAUGGUGUCAAUAUGAUUGGCAACCCUGGUGGGGGGAAGACCAAAAGUAAUGAACAUAUACUAAAAAUCUUGUCUAGUUAGAGGGUGUAUAUACACAAACAUAUAUAUAUAUAUAUAUAUAAUAUACUGUAUAUAUAUUAAUUACUUUAAAUAAGAAAGUAUUAAAAAGAAACAAAAAAUAGAAUACUUGCAAUAAAAUGUAAGAAAAUAGAAGAAAAGAAAAAUGUAUCAACAAUCACCAUGAAUAUAAAUAGACCCAAUGUGCCAGUUAAAGAAUAGACCAUCAGAUUGGAUAAAAAACAAAAUCCAACCCUGUGCUGUUUAUAAAAGACUCUCAUAAAGCAUAAGAACAUGGAAACCUUAUAGGCAUACAGUCUAAGAGAUACCAUUCACAUGACAGUCUCUCUAAAUGGCAUUACCUAGAGCUGGGUAGUGUACUGCUGAUAUUGCUAGUGCAUGACAGCCCUCAGAGUAAAAGAUUGGACCUAAAUACAUCAGGAAGAUGUUUAUCUUUUAUUUUAUUUUAUUUUAUUUUUUUGAGAUGGAGUCUUGUGAUCUCGGCUCACUGCAACCUCUGCCUCCCGGGUUCAAGCGAUUCUCUUGCCUCAGCUUCCCCAGUAGCUGGGAUUACAGGUGCCCACCACCAUGUCUGGCUAAUUUUUUUAGUUUUAGUAGAGACAGGGUUUUACCAUGUUGUCCAGGCUGGUCUCGAACUCCUGACCUCAGGUGAUCCACCUGCCUCGACCUCCCAAAGUGCUGGGAUUACAGGCGUGAGCACCGCGCCCAGCCAGGAAAGUGCUUAAGUAAGCAGGUAUGACUGUGUAAGUUUUUAGCAAAAUAAACUUUAUGACAAAACAAUAAUUAAAGAUAGGAAGACUCACUACCUAACCAUAAAAGGUAUGUAGAACCAACAUAUCUGUAAGAUAGAAUAUUUCUAAACAGGUAUGCACUGAAUAGAGUAGCUUGAAAUGUAUAUAAAGCAAACAAUUAUAAAUCCAUUAGGAGGGACCGAUAGUCUAGUCUUCUCAUUUAAGAAACGGACUAGACAAAAAAGUCAUUAAAAUAUUGAAAAUCUGAACAACAAAACAUAAGGCUGAUAUAAUAGACAUAUAUUGAAUUCUGCAUCUAAAAAUUAGAGGAUGCUUAUUCCUCUGAAGCAUACAUUAAAUAUUUAUAAAAAUUUAUCAUGGACCUGACCAUAAAAUGUCUUAAUACAUUUCAAAAACAAGUAUAUUUAGAUCAUAUUUUAUCCAAAAAUAGAGCUAGAAAUUAAAACGAAAACUAAUUUAAGAAAUUUUAUAUAUUUGGCAAUUAAAAAACGUAACAUUUGUCAAAAGUCAUUGAACUGUAGUUAGGAUAUAUGUAUUUCACUUUAAUGUUAAUUAUGCCUCAAUAUUAAGUCAAUUGCUUGUCUAAAGACAGUCAACAAUUAGCAAAUAUGUACUAAAAUAGUCACUAGGCAUAAUAAUUAUCAUACUUAGAAUAAAUAAAUCAUAAAACAUGAAAAAAC